GAUGAAGAACGCAGUAAAAUGCGAUAAUUAAUGUGAAUUGCAGAAUUCAGUGAAUCAUCGAGUCUUUGAACGCACAUUGCGCCCCCUGGUAUUCCGGGGGGCAUGCCUGUCCGAGCGUCAUUGCUGCCCUCAAGCACGGCGUGUGUGUUGGGCUUCCGUCCCUGGCAACGGGGACGGGCCCAAAAGGCAGUGGCGGCACCAUGUCUGGUCCUCGAGCGUAUGGGGCUUUGUCACCCGCUCCCGUAGGUCCAGCUGGCAGCUAGCCUCGCAACCAAUCUUUUUAACCAGGUUGACCUCGGAUCAGGUAGGGAUACCCGCUGAACUUAAGCAUAUCAAUAAGCGGAGGA
rnacentral:misc_RNA from 1 species